rnacentral:rRNA from 1 species
AUGCACGCUGGCGGCGUGCCUAAUACCUGCAAGUCGCGCGAACGGACGAGAAGCUUGCUUCUCUGAUGUUAGCGGCGGACGGGUGAGUAACACGUGGAUAACCUACCUAUAAGACUGGGAUAACUUCGGGAAACCGGAGCUAAUACCGGAUGAUAUUUUGAACCGCAUGGUUCAAAAGUGAAAGACGGUCUUGCUGUCACUUAUAGAUGGAUCCGCGCUGCAUUAGCUAGUUGGUAAGGUAAUGGCUUACCAAGGCAACGAUGCAUAGCCGACCUGAGAGGGUGAUCGGCCACACUGGAACUGAGACACGGUCCAGACUCCUACGGGAGGCAGCAGUAGGGAAUCUUCCGCAAUGGGCGAAAGCCUGACGGAGCAACGCCGCGUGAGUGAUGAAGGUCUUCGGAUCGUAAAACUCUGUUAUUAGGGAAGAACAUAUGUGUAAGUAACUGUGCACAUCUUGACGGUACCUAAUCAGAAAGCCACGGCUAACUACGUG